rnacentral:misc_RNA from 1 species
AAACCUUCAAGCUCAGCUUGGUGUUGGGUGUCUGUCCCGCCUCGGCGCGGACUCGCCUUAAAUUCAUUGGCGGCCGGUACAUUGGCUUCGAGCGCAGCAGAAACGCGAACUCGAGGACUAUGGAUCGGCUCCCAUAAGCUAUUUUCUAU